rnacentral:lncRNA from 1 species
GAUCUCAUUACAAAAAAUGGUAAGUACUACGUGAGGUGAUGCAAUCUGAAAAGCCUACAUACUGUAUGAUUUCAGCUAUAUGACAUUUUGGAAAAAAGCAAAACUAGAGACAGUAAAAAUACCAGUGAUUGCUCGGGGUUUGUGGGGUGGAGGAAGGGAUGAACAGGUGGAACAGAGGACUUCCCGUCUCUACCAAAAAUACAAAAAAUUAGUCGGGCAUGGUGGCGGGUGCCUGUAGUCCCAGCUACUUGGG